GAUGAACGCUGGCGGCGUGCCUAAUACAUGCAAGUCGAGCGAACAGACGAGGAGCUUGCUCCUCUGACGUUAGCGGCGGACGGGUGAGUAACACGUGGAUAACCUACCUAUAAGACUGGGAUAACUUCGGGAAACCGGAGCUAAUACCGGAUAAUAUCUUGAACCGCAUGGUUGAAUAGUGAAAGACGGUUUUGCUGUCACUUAUAGAUGGAUCCGCGCCGCAUUAGCUAGUUGGUAAGGUAACGGCUUACCAAGGCAACGAUGCGUAGCCGACCUGAGAGGGUGAUCGGCCACACUGGAACUGAGACACGGUCCAGACUCCUACGGGAGGCAGCAGUAGGGAAUCUUCCGCAAAGGGCGAAAGCCUGACGGAGCAACGCCGCGUGAGUGAUGAAGGUCUUCGGAUCGUAAAACUCUGUUAUUAGGGAAGAACAAAUGUGUAAGUAACUAUGCACGUCUUGACGGUACCUAAUCAGAAAGCCACGGCUAACUACGUG
rnacentral:rRNA from 1 species